AUGGUUCAAUUUGCAAAAUACUUGAAUGGCAUUGAUCUCAUAAAGGAUGAUGAGGAUUUCGAUCAAAGCAACGUAGAUGUCGAGUGGAAACCAGAGUUCCUCUUUACAGCCAUAUUUGGUGAAACAAACCAAAUAAAGUGCGAGCAACUACCUGGAAGAAUCAAAGAAUUUAAACCAGAAACUUCAAACUUCUUUUCCACCAACAAAGAGGCAAAAAAUAAUGUAAAAAUCUGUUUCUCACUGACCAUGACCUCCAAAAUUAUUUUAUCUCCCUGUCGCAGCAAAACUAUAUUUAGGUGCAUCCGUAGGGACAGUGAAAGCACGCAACUUACUGGAGCCCAACUGAAGGCAGUAUUUGGUCCAAGACCAGCACAGACGAACAUACCACAUCACAUGGAAAAGAGGGUGCUCGAUGAGAUAGCAGAAAUCUGGGAAAGCAGACAAGAUUCAAAAGAGAGUGACAGAGUAAUAUUAGGCCCAAACUUUGCAGAGAUAUUCAUUCCAAUAGAGAAGCAUGACCGCUAUGUACUAUAUGUGCUGGACAAAUACAAACACAAAGUUCACAUUACUGAUCCUCGAGAAGCGACUCCAGAGGAAUUUGAGAAAGAAAAGAUAGAGGUGGAUAAAUUGGAUCAAAAUGAAGCAUGUUGA
rnacentral:rRNA from 1 species